GCUGUGAUACAGUCGGACCCUGGGAGCAAAACCACUCACAAAGACAUUUGCACUAGCAAACAAGCUGCAGCUGAGAUUUACUAGGAGUUUAAAACAAAGGGAGAGCUGGCACAUAUGCACGUGUAUCUCCCUAUCUGCAGAUCUGCUUUCAUUCCUCUGUAACUAGCAUAUACAGACACUAUACAAACCACAACUAUUGUUUGCCUGAAUAAAGUUUCCUGGGUCUGUGCAAAUGAAGGAGCUGAGCCUAUUGUCACAUUCAAGUGACAAGUAAUGGUUUAUAGCAUGAUUGCAUCAAUCAGUUGUGUGUUAAAUGAAACUGCAGCAGAUGAAGGCAAGAUACCCCUAGAUAUAAACUAUUUCUGGCAUUAAAAGGGGGAUGGCUAUAUAUAUUAUGCUAGUUCUACAGCAAGCAGGGUGUAGUGUGCAGGAAUCAGGCACAUCACACUAUUGCUAUAACUAGCACAGGCAGAGGGAAGGUUUCCAAGAGCUUUAUUCCUUCAAACACAGUUUUAUCACAGGAAACAAACAAUGCAUCACUGCUGGUUUAUACACACAAGUUAGUUACACUUUGUAUACUUAGAACAAAACAGAUUGCAAUUAUGCUGGCUUCACUCUGAUGAAAGAAAAUCACAUUCCCUUUCUCUAAUAAGGACUACAUAGUACAGAAGCUUCUCUCUUGACUAGUGAAUAAUAAACAAGUAGAGUGCCACCUUACCUGCGAGGGUCAUGCACCUCUACUGAAAACUUCUUCUCUCUGAAGUAAAGGUUUUCCAGCUGCCGCCAUUGGAAGAUCUAGACAAGAGUAAAGCGGAGGUCAGUUACCAUUUCCAGGAACACAUUGUCAGGUAAUAAGUGGCAGUUCCUCUGUAACAAUCCAACUUGCCUUCCAUGUUAUCGAUCAGUGAUAUAACAUGCAGGACAUUCCCAUUACUUGUGUGAUUCUCCUCUAAAUUUGUUGAUUUCUUUCCCAAUUCAAUCCUUUUAUGAAGCAGUUAAAAAGGGAAAUCUCAGGAGCAAGCAGUAGCCAUCUGUGAGUGCAGAUUCCCCCUUUCAGAGUGGUGAAAUGGCAAGGAAUUCAAAUUCCCCUGCCUCCCAUUGGAACAGCCACUUCCUGCCCACUAAAUGUGUAAUAGUCCCUGACAAGCACUGUUGCUUGAAGCAGCUUCUAAAAAAACCCAGGAGAGGGCGGGGGCUGAGGGCUGACCUUAAUUCAAGGCAAUGUGAGAUGAUAACAAUGUGAGCUUGUAAAAGUAGCUCCCAGUGUGCACAAAGCUCACAUUUUCUUCCCCUGCAGUUAUCAGGGGGCAGCAGAAAGCUACAGGCAAAUGCUUUCAGUUUGGGAUAAGACAGAGAAUCCUGGCACCCAGCUGCGUACAAUAUGUUCUUGCACCCCAGUCACACGGCUCGAGCAAUAAAGGAGCAGGCACACGCAAUGGUCAGUUAGCCUGCCUGUAUGUUUGGAGUGUGGGAAGAAGCCAGAUCAUCCAGUGGAACCCAUGCAGACAUGUGAUGUGAAGACAAAGCCCUACUUGGAAUCACCCCAGGACCUUGACACUAGAAGGCACCGAUCUUAGCCAGUAUGCCACCGUGCUACAUUGAUUUAGGGACCAUUAAUUACAGCAGAACUAUAACAGCACAGAUUUAAAGUCUCCAAAACGACUCCAUAUUACAUUUACCUUGUUAUUGACAAAACUAUCUAGCCAUCGGGACAACACCACAGCAUUCAGUUUAAGAACCAAAACAGAAUGUUUACAUAAAUGUUAAAUUAUUGAUCGCCCCAUGUGCAGCCUUUCAGCUGGCUGGCCAUUGCUUUGCAGCAUUAUUUAUUCUAGCACAUUUGUUGGCAGUGAAACGUUGUAGAUUCCAAGGCUUUGCAGGGUAGACUCAGCCGACGAAGAACUUGGUUCUUUCUCUCAAACUGUACACUUCAACCUGCUGCUGAAACUGCUGAGUAAGUGGGAAUAAGCAUUUAAAAUAGCAUAGUUAUUUUUUUAACUAUUUAUAGAGCCAGAAAAAACACUGGAUCAUAAAAAAGAAAAGCAAUAAAUGGCAUGUUUAAUGUCGGUGAGUUUUCUUUUCUCUCUGCACCACAUACUAACAUUUUGUACGUUAAUAAUAAAAAAUGAUAAUUUGUCACA